CUCAACUCUUUCAGCUGUAGUAACACCUCUCCCACCAGUAUUUUGUCCUCCUUCACCAACACCAGUAUUUUGUCCUCCCCAUCAAUAUUUUGUCCUCUCCCUCUACCUCUUGAUGGCAAGACUAUAGUUGUGCCAGUCUCAGCAUCCCACACAAUAUUUGGUGGCCUCAUCCUUGGUCUUCCCCCUUUAUUUGGAACAUCAGGUGCUUUUGUUUGGUCUAUAUCCUGUUCUGGUUCAUUUGUACAAGAUGUACUGUAGUGACCAAAUAUUCCACAUCUUUGACAUCUCUUGUCAUUUCUUCUUUUGCCAGUAACCUCAGCCUCAUAAGCAUCAAUCCUUCUUUGUCUUUUGUUUCUUCCAGGUCCUUUUUUCUUGAUGGGUGGCAAUACAUUCAGUUCAUUCAGUGGAAUCUGCCAAAUGGGAGGGGGGGGGGGGGUUAAGUCAAAUACAUGUUUAAGAAAUGUAAGUACUAUCAAUGUUUAGGUACCAAAACAAGUAAUACCAAUGUACUAACAUAGACAAUAGUAAACAUAGUGAGGGGUUAAGUCAAAGAACCUGCUUCCAUUUAGAAUCAUGGUUG
rnacentral:lncRNA from 1 species